rnacentral:rRNA from 1 species
UGGGGAAUCUUGCACAAUGGGCGAAAGCCUGAUGCAGCGACGCCGCGUGCGGGAUGAAGGCCUUCGGGUUGUAAACCGCUUUCAGCAGGGACGAGGCCGCAAGGUGACGGUACCUGCAGAAGAAGCCCCGGCUAACUACGUGCCAGCAGCCGCGGUAAUACGUAGGGGGCAAGCGUUAUCCGGAUUCAUUGGGCGUAAAGCGCGCGUAGGCGGUUUGUUAGGUCAGGAGUUAAAUCUGGGGGCUCAACCCCUAUCCGCUCCUGAUACCGGCAGGCUUGCGUCUGGUAGGGGAAGGCGGAAUUCCAAGUGUAGCGGUGAAAUGCGCAGAUAUUUGGAAGAACACCGGUGGCGAAGGCGGCCUUCUGGGCCACGACUGACGCUGAGGCGCGAAAGCUAGGGGAGCGAACAGG